GCGAUGCGUCUUAAGCAUGCAAGUCGAGCGGGCUUAUUCGGGCAACUGGAUAAGUUAGCGGCGAACUGGUGAGUAACACGUAGGUAAUCUGCCGUAGAGUGGGGGAUAACCCAUGGAAACAUGGACUAAUACCGCAUAUACUCUUGCUACAUAAGUAGAGUAGAGGAAAGGAGCAAUCCGCUUUACGAUGAGCCUGCGGCCUAUUAGCCUGUUGGUGGGGUAACGGCCUACCAAAGCUACGAUAGGUAGCCGACCUGAGAGGGUGACCGGCCACAUUGGGACUGAGAUACGGCCCAGACUCCUACGGGAGGCAGCAGCUGAGAAUCUUCCACAAUGGACGAAAGUCUGAUGGAGCGACAUCGCGUGAGGGAUGAAGGCCUUCGGGUUGUAAACCUCGGAAAUUAUCGAAGAAUGAGUGACAGUAGAUAAUGUAAGCCUCGGCUAACUACG
rnacentral:rRNA from 1 species